rnacentral:rRNA from 1 species
GGUUAAGCGACUAAGCGUACACGGUGGAUGCCCUGGCAGUCAGAGGCGAUGAAGGACGUGCUAAUCUGCGAUAAGCGUCGGUGAGGUGAUAUGAACCGUUAUAACCGGCGAUUUCCGAAUGGGGAAACCCAGUGUGUUUCGACACACUAUCAUUAACUGAAUCCAUAGGUUAAUGAGGCGAACCGGGGGAACUGAAACAUCUAAGUACCCCGAGGAAAAGAAAUCAACCGAGAUUCCCCCAGUAGCGGCGAGCGAACGGGGAGGAGCCCAGAGCCUGAAUCAGUGUGUGUGUUAGUGGAAGCGUCUGGAAAGGCGCGCGAUACAGGGUGACAGCCCCGUACACAAAAAUGCACAUAUUGUGAGCUCGAUGAGUAGGGCGGGACACGUGGUAUCCUGUCUGAAUAUGGGGGGACCAUCCUCCAAGGCUAAAUACUCCUGACUGACCGAUAGUGAACCAGUACCGUGAGGGAAAGGCGAAAAGAACCCCGGCGAGGGGAGUGAAAAAGAACCUGAAACCGUGUACGUACAAGCAGUGGGAGCCUCUUAAUGGGGUGACUGCGUACCUUUUGUAUAAUGGGUCAGCGACUUAUAUUCUGUAGCAAGGUUAACCGAAUAGGGGAGCCGAAGGGAAACCGAGUCUUAACUGGGCGUUAAGUUGCAGGGUAUAGACCCGAAACCCGGUGAUCUAGCCAUGGGCAGGUUGAAGGUUGGGUAACACUAACUGGAGGACCGAACCGACUAAUGUUGAAAAAUUAGCGGAUGACUUGUGGCUGGGGGUGAAAGGCCAAUCAAACCGGGAGAUAGCUGGUUCUCCCCGAAAGCUAUUUAGGUAGCGCCUCGUGAAUUCAUCUCCGGGGGUAGAGCACUGUUUCGGCAAGGGGGUCAUCCCGACUUACCAACCCGAUGCAAACUGCGAAUACCGGAGAAUGUUAUCACGGGAGACACACGGCGGGUGCUAACGUCCGUCGUG